rnacentral:rRNA from 1 species
UAGGGAAUCUUCCGCAAUGGACGCAAGUCUGACGGAGCAACGCCGCGUGAGUGAAGAAGGAUUUCGGUUCGUAAAACUCUGUUGUUAGAGAAGAACAGCGCAUAGAGUAACUGUUAUGCGUGUGACGGUAUCUAACCAGAAAGCCACGGCUAACUACGUGCCAGCAGCCGCGGUAAUACGUAGGUGGCAAGCGUUGUCCGGAUUUAUUGGGCGUAAAGCGAGCGCAGGCGGUCAAUUAAGUCUGAUGUGAAAGCCCCCGGCUCAACCGGGAAGGGUCAGUGGAAACUGGUUGACUUGAGUGCAGAAGAGGAGAGGGGAAUUCCAUGUGUAGCGGUAAAAUGCGUAGAUAUAUGGAGGAACACCAGUGGCGAAGGCGACUCUCUGGUCUGUAACUGACGCUGAGGCUCGAAAGCGUGGGUAGCAAACAGG